rnacentral:rRNA from 1 species
CAGUCGCCGCGGGAAUACAGAGGGUGCGAGCGUUAAUCGGAUUUACUGGGCGUAAAGCGUGCGUAGGCGGCUUCUUAAGUCGGAUGUGAAAUCCCUGAGCUUAACUUAGGAAUUGCAUUCGAUACUGGGAAGCUAGAGUAUGGGAGAGGAUGGUAGAAUUCCAGGUGUAGCGGUGAAAUGCGUAGAGAUCUGGAGGAAUACCGAUGGCGAAGGCAGCCAUCUGGCCUAAUACUGACGCUGAGGUACGAAAGCAUGGGGAGCAAACAGGAUUAGAGACCCGCGUAGUCCCUGUCUCUUAUAA